CAAUAGCGUAUAUUAAAGUUGUUGCAGUUAAAAAGCUCGUAGUUGGAUUUCUGGCAGGAGUGACCGGCCGCACACACUGUGUGUGAGUUGCGUCAUUCUGGCCAUCCUUGGUGAGAUCCUGUUUGGCAUUAAGUUGUCGGGCAGGGGAUAACCAUCGUUUACUGUGAAAAAAUUAAGAGUGUUUAAAGCAGGCUUAUGCCGUUGAAUACAUUAGCAUGGAAUAAUAAGAUAGGACUUUGGCGUCUAUUUUGUUGGUUUGCACACCAAGGUAAAUGAUUAAUAGGGAUAGUUGGGGGUAGUUCGUAUUUAAUUGUCAGAGGUGAAAUUCUUGGAUUUAUGAAAGACGAACUUCUGCGAAAGCAUUUACCAAAGAUGUUUUCAUUAAAUCAAGAACGAAAGUUAAGGGGAGUCGAAGACGAUCAGAUACCAU
rnacentral:rRNA from 1 species